rnacentral:rRNA from 1 species
UACGAAGGGGGCUAGCGUUGCUCGGAAUCACUGGGCGUAAAGGGCGCGUAGGCGGCCAUUCAAGUCAGAGGUGAAAGCCCAAGGCUCAACCUUGGAAUUGCCUUUGAUACUGUUUGGCUUGAGACCGGAAGAGGUUAGUGGAACUGCGAGUGUAGAGGUGAAAUUCGUAGAUAUUCGCAAGAACACCAGUGGCGAAGGCGGCUAACUGGUCCAAUUCUGACGCUGAGGCGCGAAAAGGUAGGGGAGCAAAGCAGGAUUAAGAA